UCUCAAGCAUAAUAAGGGCAUCUGGUGGAUGCCUUGGCGUCAAGAGGCGAUGAAAGACGUGGCACUCUGCGAUAAGCUACGGUGAGCCGAGAGCAGGCUUUGACCCGUAGAUUUCUGAAUGGGGAAACCCCACCCAAUAGGGUGAUCCUGUCGUGAAUACAUAGCGGCAGGAGGCGAACCCGGUGAACUGAAACAUCUCAGUAACCGGAGGAAAGGACAUCAACCGAGACUUCGCUAGUAGCGGCGAGCGAACGCGAACCAGGCCAGUGGCUUAUGCAUAAGAACCGGAACGAUCUGGAAAGGUCGGCCAUAGUGGGUGAUAGCCCCGUACGGGUAGAAAAUGCAUAAGUCCUCGAGUAGGACGGGACACGUGAAAUCCUGUCUGAACAUGGGGGGACCACCCUCCAAGCCUAAGUACUCCUUGACGACCGAUAGUGUACCAGUACCGUGAGGGAAAGGUGAAAAGCACCCCGAUAAGGGGAGUGAAAUAGUUCCUGAAACCGGAUGCCUACAAGCAGUUGGAGCCUCUUUAUGGGGUGACAGCGUACCUCUUGCAUAAUGGGUCAGCGAGUUAGUCUUACAAGCAAGCUUAAGCCGAUAGGUGUAGGCGCAGCGAAAGCGAGUCUUAAUAGGGCGAUUGAGUUUGUGGGAUUAGACCCGAAACCAGGUGAUCUAGCCAUGAGCAGGUUGAAGGUGAUGUAACAGUCACUGGAGGACCGAACCCACGUCUGUUGAAAAAGACGGGGAUGACUUGUGGUUAGGGGUGAAAGGCCAAUCAAACCUGGAGAUAGCUGGUUCUCCGCGAAAUCUAUUUAGGUAGAGCGUCAGACGAAUACCAUCGGGGGUAGAGCACUGAAUGGGCUAGGGGGCCUUACCGGCUUACCAAACCUAAUCAAACUCCGAAUACCGAUGAGUACUAUCUGGCAGACAGACUACGGGUGCUAAGGUCCGUGGUCGAGAGGGAAACAGCCCAGACCGCCAGUUAAGGUCCCAAAGUUGUGGCUAAGUGGGAAAGGAUGUAGGACGGCCAAGACAACCAGGACGUUGGCUUAGAAGCAGCCAUCGUUUAAAGAAAGCGUAACAGCUCACUGGUCUAAAUAAGCUGUCCCGCGCCGAAGAUGUACCGGGGCUCAAGCCACACACCGAAACUGCGGACUUGUUCUUUGAACAAGUGGUAGCGGAGCGUUCCGUAAGCCUGUGAAGGUGAACCGUAAGGUUUGCUGGAGGUAUCGGAAGCGAGAAUGCUGACAUGAGUAGCGAUAAAGGGAGUGAGAACCUCCCUCGCCGAAAGCCCAAGGGUUCCUGCGCAAGGCCAAUCCGCGCAGGGUGAGUCGGCCCCUAAGACGAGGCAGAAAUGCGUAGUCGAUGGGAAACAGGUUAAUAUUCCUGUACCCGUGAGAAGUGACGGCCUCUGGAAGUAGUUUUUCCUUAUUGGAUUGGAGAAGCUGCCAAGGAGGUCCAGGAAAUAACUCUCACAUAUGGACCGUACCCCAAACCGACACAGGUGGGCAGGUUGAAUAUACCAAGGCGCUUGAGAGAAUGGUGUUGAAGGAACUCGGCAAAUUGCCCCCGUAACUUCGGGAGAAGGGGGCCCACCGUGAAGGCAACUUUACGGUGGGGGCACAGACUAGGGGGUGGCGACUGUUUACUAAAAACACAGGGCUCUGCGAAGUCGCAAGACGACGUAUAGGGUCUGACGCCUGCCCGGUGCCGGAAGGUUAAGAGGAGAUGUGCAAGCAUUGAAUUGAAGCCCCGGUAAACGGCGGCCGUAACUAUAACGGUCCUAAGGUAGCGAAAUUCCUUGUCGGGUAAGUUCCGACCUGCACGAAUGGCGUAACGACUUCCCCACUGUCUCCAACACCAACUCAGCGAAAUUGAAUUCUCCGUGAAGAUGCGGAGUACCCGCGGUCAGACGGAAAGACCCCGUGCACCUUUACUACAGCUUUGCAGUGGUAUCAGAAUGUGAAUGUGCAGAAUAGGUGGGAGGCUUUGAAGCCAUGGCGCCAGCCAUGGUGGAGCCACCUUUGAGAUACCACCCUUUUGCUUCCUGAUAUCUAACCGAGGUCCGUUAUCCGGAUCCGGGACCCUGCAUGGCGGGUAGUUUGACUGGGGCGGUCGCCUCCCAAAGAGUAACGGAGGCGCGCGAUGGUAGGCUCAGGCUGGUCGGACAUCAGCUUAAGAGUGCAAUGGCAAAAGCCUGCCUGACUGCGAGACUGACAAGUCGAGCAGAGACGAAAGUCGGUCAUAGUGAUCCGGUGGUCCCGCGUGGAAGGGCCAUCGCUCAACGGAUAAAAGGUACGCCGGGGAUAACAGGCUGAUACUCCCCAAGAGUCCACAUCGACGGGAGUGUUUGGCACCUCGAUGUCGGCUCAUCACAUCCUGGGGCUGGAGCAGGUCCCAAGGGUUUGGCUGUUCGCCAAUUAAAGUGGUACGUGAGCUGGGUUUAGAACGUCGUGAGACAGUUCGGUCCCUAUCUGCCGUGGGCGUAGGAUACUUGAGAAGAGCUGUCCCUAGUACGAGAGGACCGGGAUGGACGCACCUCUGGUGUACCGGUUGUUCCGCCAGGAGCAUCGCCGGGUAGCUAAGUGCGGAAGGGAUAACCGCUGAAAGCAUCUAAGCGGGAAGCCCCCUUCAAGACUAGGUAUCCCUAUCAGAUCCCUGGAAGACCACCAGGUUGAUAGGCUGGGUGUGGAAGCGUGGCAACACGUGAAGCUAACCAGUACUAAUUGAUCGAUCGGCUUGAUUGAUCCC
rnacentral:rRNA from 1 species